AGCAGCCGCGGUAAUUCCAGCUCCAAUAGCGUAUAUUAAAGUUGUUGCAGUUAAAAAGCUCGUAGUUGAAUCUCGGGGUUAGUAGGUUGGUCAUGCCUCCGGUAUGUACUGAUCUCACUGAUUCCUCCUUCCUUAUGAACCGUAAUGCCAUUAAUUUGGUGUUGCGGGAAAUUUGGACUGUUACUUUGAAAAAUUAGAGUAGUUUAAAGCAAGCUAACGCCUGAAUACAUUAGCAUGGAAUAAUGAAAUAGGACGUUCGAUCUUAUUUUGUUGGUUUCUAGGAUUGACGUAAUGAUUAAUAGGGAUAGUUGGGGGCAUUAGUAUUCAAUUGUCAGAGGUGAAAUUCUUGGAUUUAUUGAAGACUAACUACUGCGAAAGCAUUUGCCAAGGAUGUUUUCAUUAAUCAAGAACGAAAGUUAGGGGAUCGAAGACGAUCAGAUACCGUCGUAGUCUUAAC
rnacentral:sRNA from 1 species